GAUGAAGAACGUAGCAAAAUGCGAUAAGUAAUGUGAAUUGCAGAAUUCAGUGAAUCAUCGAAUCUUUGAACGCACAUUGCGCCCGCCAGUAUUCUGGCGGGCAUGCCUGUUCGAGCGUCAUUUCAACCCUCAAGCACAGCUUGGUGUUGGGACUCGCGUUAAUUCGCGUUCCCCAAAUUGAUUGGCGGUCACGUCGAGCUUCCAUAGCGUAGUAGUAAAACCCUCGUUACUGGUAAUCGUCGCGGCCACGCCGUUAAACCCCAACUUCUGAAUGUUGACCUCGGAUCAGGUAGGAAUACCCGCUGAACUUAAGCAUUUCAAUAAGCGGAGGA
rnacentral:misc_RNA from 1 species